UACGGAGGAUGCAAGCGUUAUCCGGAAUGAUUGGGCGUAAAGCGUCCGCAGGCGGCUAUGUAAGUCUGCUGUUAAAGAGUGAGGCUCAACCUCAUAAGAGCAGUGGAAACUACAUGGCUAGAGUGCGUUCGGGGCAGAGGGAAUUCCUGGUGUAGCGGUGAAAUGCGUAGAUAUCAGGAAGAACACCGGUGGCGAAAGCGCUCUGCUGGACCUUAACUGACACUGAGGGACGAAAGCUAGGGGAGCGAAUGGG
rnacentral:rRNA from 1 species